CCUACGGGAGGCAGCAGUAGGGAAUCUUCCACAAUGGGCGCAAGCCUGAUGGAGCAACACCGCGUGAGUGAAGAAGGGUUUCGGCUCGUAAAACUCUGUUGUUGAAGAAGAACGUGCGUGAGAGUAACUGUUCAUGCAGUGACGGUAUUCAACCAGAAAGUCACGGCUAACUACAUGCCAGCAGCCGCGGUAAU
rnacentral:rRNA from 2 species